GCAAGCUACUAAGUGCGAUCGGUGGAUGCCUUGGCACCAAGAGCCGAUGAAGGACGUUGUAACCUGCGAUAAGCCUAGGGGAGUUGGUAAACGAGCUGUGAUCCUGGGAUGUCCGAAUGGGGUAACCUUGAAUGUCCGGAGUUAUGUCCGGUGACUUCUGCCUGAAUGUAUAGGGUAGUUGGAGGGAACGCGGGGAAGUGAAACAUCUUAGUACCCGUAGGAAGAGAAAACAAUAGUGAUUCCGUGAGUAGUGGCGAGCGAAAGUGGAUGAGGCUAAACCUAUACCGUGUGAUAGCUGACAGGUGUUGCGGUGUGGGGGUUGUGGGAUGUUGUGUGGCCUGGCUGUUGACGGGUCGUGGAGUGAUAAAUGGUGGGUGAAGUUGAACAGGUUGGAAAGCCUGAGCGUAGUGGGUGAUACUCCCGUAGGCGUAUGUCUGCCACUUCAUUGCAAUAUUUUUCCCAAGUAGCACGGGACUCGUGGAAUUUCGUGUGAAUCUGGCAGGACCAUCUGCUAAGCCUAAAUACUCCUUGGUGACCGAUAGUGGAUGAGUACCGUGAGGGAAUGGUGAAAAGUACCCCGGGAGGGGAGUGAAAUAGUACCUGAAACCGGGCGCUUACAAGCCGUCAGAGCCUUCCGCACCUUGUGUGUGGGGGUGGUGGCGUGCCUUUUGAAGAAUGAGCCUGCGAGUCAGUGGCGUGUCGCGAGGUUAACCCGUGUGGGGUAGCCGUAGCGAGAGCGAGUCCGAAUAGGGCGAUGUGUAGUGGCGCGUUCUGGACCCGAAGCGGGGUGAUCUACCCAUGGCCAGGUUGAAGCACGUGUAAGAGCGUGUGGAGGACCGAACCCACCUAGGUUGAAAACUGGGGGGAUGAGCUGUGGGUAGGGGUGAAAGGCCAAUCAAACUCCGUGAUAGCUGGUUCUCCCCGAAAUGCAUUUAGGUGCAGCGUCGCAUAGUGUGCUUGUUGGAGGUAGAGCUACUGGUUGGUUGAGCGGGACGAUAAUCUUAGCAACAUCAGCUAAACUCCGAAUGCCAGCAAUGUGGGUGCGGCAGUGAGACUGCGGGGGAUAAGCUCCGUUGGUCGAGAGGGAAACAGCCCAGAUCGUCGGUUAAGGCCCCUAAGGGUGUGCUCAGUGGGAAAGGAUGUGGGAUCGCGAAGACAGCCAGGAGGUUGGCUUAGAAGCAGCCAUCCUUGAAAGAGUGCGUAAUAGCUCACUGGUCAAGUGAUUCUGCGCCGAUAAUGUAGCGGGGCUCAAGUACACCGCCGAAGUUGUGGCAAUCAGUCCUUGUGGCUGGUUGGGUAGGGGAGCGUCCUGCAUGAGGUGAAGCUGCCACGGGAGUGUGUGGUGGAUUGUGUGGGAGUGAGAAUGCAGGCAUGAGUAGCGAAUCACGGGUGAGAAACCCGUGCGCCGGAUGAUCAAGGGUUCCAGGGUCAAGUUAAUCUGCCCUGGGUUAGUCGGGGCCUAAGGCGAGGCCGACAGGCGUAGUCGAUGGAUAACGGGUUGAUAUUCCCGUACCAGUGAAGAACCGUCCAUACUGAUAUUGUGAUGCUAACCAUGCCGAACACGGUGUCAUGAAGUUUUCUUUGUGGUGUUGUGGGGUGUGUGGGACCCAGGCUUUGGAGGUAAGCGUGUUAACAGGUGUGACGCAGGAAGGUAGCCAAGCCACGCGGUGGUUGUCGUGGUCUAAGCGUGUAGGAUGACUGGUUGUUAAAUGCGCCGGUUGUGUGUCUGAGACGUGAUGGGACCCCUUGUUUGUGGGGGAUUUGGUGAUCCUAUGCUGCCGAGAAAAGCAUCGGCGUGAGGUUUUAGCUGCCCGUACCCGAAACCGACACAGGUGAUCAGGUAGAGAAUACUAAGGCGAUCGAGAGAAUCAUGGUUAAGGAACUCGGCAAAAUGCCCCCGUAACUUCGGGAGAAGGGGGGCCCUGAGCGUGAUCUGCCCGUGCGGUGGGGAGCGUGUAGGGGUCGCAGAGACCAGGGGGAAGCGACUGUUUAUCAAAAACACAGGUCCGUGCGAAGUCGUAAGACGAGGUAUACGGACUGACUCCUGCCCGGUGCUGGAAGGUUAAGAGGAUUGGUUAGCCCUGUGUGGGCGAAGCUGAGAAUUUAAGCCCCAGUAAACGGCGGUGGUAACUAUAACCAUCCUAAGGUAGCGAAAUUCCUUGUCGGGUAAGUUCCGACCUGCACGAAUGGAGUAACGAUUUGGGCGCUGUCUCCACCACGAACUCGGUGAAAUUGCAUUACGAGUAAAGAUGCUCGUUACGCGCAGCAGGACGGAAAGACCCCGGGACCUUUACUAUAGUUUGGUAUUGGUGAUCGGUGUGACUUGUGUAGGAUAGGUGGGAGACUGUGAAGCUGGGACGCUAGUUCUGGUGGAGUCGUCGUUGAAAUACCACUCUGGUUACUCUGGUUAUCUAACCUAGGGCCAUGAUCUGGUUCAGGGACAGUGCCUGAUGGGUAGUUUGACUGGGGCGGUCGCCUCCUAAAAGGUAACGGAGGCGCCCAAAGGUUCCCUCAGCCUGGUUGGCAAUCAGGUGUUGAGUGUAAGUGCACAAGGGAGCUUGACUGUGAGAGUGGCGACUCGAGCAGGGACGAAAGUCGGGACUAGUGAUCCGGCAGUGGCUUGUGGAAGCGCUGUCGCUCAACGGAUAAAAGGUACCUCGGGGAUAACAGGCUGAUCUUGCCCAAGAGUCCAUAUCGACGGCAUGGUUUGGCACCUCGAUGUCGGCUCGUCGCAUCCUGGGGCUGGAGUCGGUCCCAAGGGUUGGGCUGUUCGCCCAUUAAAGCGGCACGCGAGCUGGGUUUAGAACGUCGUGAGACAGUUCGGUCCCUAUCCGCUGCGCGCGUAGGAGUCUUGAGAAGGGCUGUCUCUAGUACGAGAGGACCGGGACGGACUAACCUCUGGUGUGCCAGUUGUUCCACCAGGAGCACUGCUGGUUAGCUACGUUGGGAAGUGAUAACCGCUGAAAGCAUCUAAGCGGGAAGCACGCUUCAAGAUGAGGGCUCCCACAGAAACAAUCUGGUAAGGCCCCCCACAGACCAUGGGGUCGAUAGGUCGGACGUGGAAGCGUAGUAAUACGUGAAGCUGACCGAUACUAAUAGGCCGAGGGCUUACCACAC
rnacentral:rRNA from 1 species